rnacentral:rRNA from 1 species
UACGGAGGGGGCUAGCGUUGUCCGGAAUUAUUGGGCGUAAAGCGCGCGCAGGCGGUCUUUUAAGUCUGAUGUGAAAGCCCACGGCUCAACCGUGGAGGGUCAUUGGAAACUGGGAGACUUGAGUGCAGAAGAGAAGAGUGGAAUUCCACGUGUAGCGGUGAAAUGCGUAGAGAUGUGGAGGAACACCAGUGGCGAAGGCGACUCUUUGGUCUGUAACUGACGCUGAGGCGCGAAAGCGUGGGGAGCAAACAGG